AUUUCCACCGACGACUAGUGCUGAUCGUGCGAAUCCGUAAGCGGCUGAUUAAAUAACUUUUAUUUGGAGUUUCAGAUUACUAGGGUGUGCUACAAGUAGAUCCAAAUAAGAAAUUUAGAAAACAUGAAUCUGUGUCCUGUGCAAAAGGGAAGAAAGCACAAAUUGGUGUGUUGAUGCAGAUGCUGCUGUAUGGUGAUGUUACUUGCCAGACCACCCCAACUAGUUUCGUCGAAUUCAAAGCGAAUGAAAAGUGCUUUACUGGAACCAAGACUGAGAGCGAUCCUGGGUCAAUUGCCUGUAGUUUCACUGGAUCCCUGGAUAUUGGGGGCUGCAAGUUUGUCUCAACAGUUAUCGUGUUCCCAGACAGCCAUGGUGUCGCUACUGAAUAUCAUCUCUGUCUGUCCCACCGGCAUUCGUCUGAUGUGACCAGCCCACCACAGUCAGCCGUGUUUUAUAGAACAUCCAUCUAUCGUCUACUUGUUUACAAAGGUAAAAUGAAAUAAAGUGCAUGCCAA